ACAGGUGGAGUUUUGAGAAAAAAUCUGGAACAAGCAAGAAAGAAAGAGAGGAGCUUCGGGCAGGAGAAGAAAGGAAAAAGAAAGGGAGGUGGCUGAGAGAAAGGGAGGAAGAGAAUCUAGGGGAGCAAGAAAGAGAGAGAGAGACUGCGGAGGGAUUGGGAGAAAAAUCUGGAAUAGAGAGAAAAACUAGAGGAGCUUCGGGCUAGGCAGGAGAGCUUCGGGCAAGAAGGAAAAAGGGAACAAAAAAAUCGAAAAAGAGAGAGGAGAUUGAGAGAGGGUGGCGGCAGAAGAACCAAAAAGGAGGAACAAGAGAGAGGGGCGGUGGAGAUCAGAAAAGGAAGAAAGAGAGAAGCAAAAGAGAGGAAAAAAAAAAGAUUUUCUGCAGAAAUUUUCGCAGAAAAGGGCUAAUUUUCAGCCAUUUUGUGACAAAUUGAUCUCUUUCAUUUGAGUUUGAUUCGGGUAGAUUUCUGUUUCUGCGAAUACUAGGUAGUUAGGAGAAGGAAUUUUGUUUAAAUUACUUUUGCAAAUAACGUUGAGAGGGCUCCCGAAUUCAGCCCCAAAACCCGCUGCUUCGUUUCACUGGUGCGGGUUCGAAGUCGCAACGGAGCAACUCCAGCAGCCCUUUCACGUCGUUUCCUGUCCUGAUUUCGAUCCAAAAAGCCUCAUCAGGUACUCUCCUAGAUUGAUGUUUUAGUUCCUUUCAUUUUCAUUCAUUGUUGGGUCGUGUUCUUGAGUUUCUUGGUCGUUACUGUUGUUUGCUCUUGCUGUUUCUAUUCAUGAAUAGUGGGAUGAAGAUUCCCUAUGUUGGCUUGUGAUUAAAUGCGGUGUUUGAGUAAAUGAGACUUGAAUGAUGUUGGGGGUUUCAUUAUUUUUUUUUUACUUCUGGACUUGCAUACUUGGUAGAGUUUCUUGCCGAAAAAUGAAAACCCAGCAAAAGUUGCAGAAAGGAUGAAGGAACUGUAGAAAUUCCACUUUAGCCUCUCAAGUUCUACAUAAUUCUACUAUGGCCCAUAAAUUUCUAAAAUGGAACCAAUUUUACCCCUUUAAAUUUUAAUUUUCUUUGGCAUGUUUUAAUAUGAUUUUUGAGUAGAUUAUUUAUGAAUUUAAGGAUGGAUUUUAAGGUUUAUAAUUUUGAUAAAUUUAUUAUUUUGAUUGGGUUUUAAUAAAAUAGGUUAGUUUGGGUUAAAGGUUAUUGUUUGUUUGGGUUUAGGGAAAUGGGUUGGUGUAUUUUGGUUGGAUUUUAACAUGGGCUUGGAGGAUAAACGCCCAUGCAAUUGGUUGGGUUAGUUUGAUCAAGAAUAAUGGUUCGGUCCGCUUUUCGUUGUUGGAUUUUCAUUGGGUCGAAAUGGCCUUGACCCAAGAAAAAUAAUAGAAUGGCCCGUUUGGCUAAGAAUCUAGUCAAAUUUGAAUAAUGGUCUCUAUACUUUUAUGUAAUUAUGCUAUGGCCCUAAAAACUUUAAUGUUUUUCAAUUAGGUCCCUAAUUUAAUUACAAAUAGGUCCCUAAUAGUUUUGAUUUCUUAAAUAUAAGUCACUUUGCUUCUUUAAUUAUUAAUUAUGUUUCAUUUAAAUGCUAAGAUUGAUAGGUUUCGUGUUUAUUUCAAUUUCUUUAUGAUUUAUUUGUUAAUUAAAUUGGUGCCUUGAUGAUUAUUGUUAAUUUUGGAGUUAAAUAGGACAAAUCCAAUUCUCCAUUAGCUACUACUUCAAGGGAGAUAUCUUCUUGUGUUAUUUUAAAUCCUCUUAUAUGCUCUUAUGUGUUGUUAUGUGUGUAAUUGCAUGUUUUUGAGUGAUUUCUCUUUUAGUUAUUCGUUUUAUUUGUUUUAAGUUUCAUAUAUUUAAUUUAAUUUUGAUGAUUAUUUGAGAGGCAUUUAAAUGUCAAAUUGUAAUAGAUAGGGGGUUCAAGGCAUGUAUUUAGACAAUUAUGUAAUAGAUAGGUUUUAAUUCAAAUUAUGUAAUAGAUAAGUUUUAAUUCUUAUUAAAAGUGUAAUUAGUUAGAUAAAUGUAAUAGUUAGGUUAUUAUUAUUUUAAUUUCCCCCCUUAGAUUGUAAUUAGGACCCCUGAAUAUAAUAGUUAGGUUUUUAUUUGCUUUUAUUUGCUUGCGUGUUUACAUGUUUGUGUGUUUACAUGUUUACUCGCUUUCUUAGGAUCUUUGCAUCUAGAUAUCAUACUUAUGUGUUAUGUGCUCUCUAUGGUCUAUGUGUUUACUUGCUUUUACCAUGUUUUAUAUGAUUUAUUUAGUUAUAAUAAAUACACGACGUCACCACACUAGUCCAACGCUAGUGAACACUUGUAGAAAUGGGUUAGUCCG
rnacentral:lncRNA from 1 species